AGAGUUUGAUCCUGGCUCAGGAUGAACGCUGGCGGCGCGCCUAACACAUGCAAGUCGAACGGCACCCCUCUCCGGAGGGAAGCGAGUGGCGAACGGCUGAGUAACACGUGGAGAACCUGCCCCCUCCCCCGGGAUAGCCGCCCGAAAGGACGGGUAAUACCGGAUACCCCGGGGUGCCGCAUGGCACCCCGGCUAAAGCCCCGACGGGAGGGGAUGGCUCCGCGGCCCAUCAGGUAGACGGCGGGGUGACGGCCCACCGUGCCGACAACGGGUAGCCGGGUUGAGAGACCGACCGGCCAGAUUGGGACUGAGACACGGCCCAGACUCCUACGGGAGGCAGCAGUGGGGAAUCUUGCGCAAUGGGGGGAACCCUGACGCAGCGACGCCGCGUGCGGGACGGAGGCCUUCGGGUCGUAAACCGCUUUCAGCAGGGAAGAGUCAAGACUGUACCUGCAGAAGAAGCCCCAGGCUAACUACGUGCCAGCAGCCGCGGUAAUACGUAGGGGGCGAGCGUUAUCCGGAUUCAUUGGGCGUAAAGCGCGCGUAGGCGGCCCGGCAGGCCGGGGGUCGAAGCGGGGGGCUCAACCCCCCGAAGCCCCCGGAACCUCCGCGGCUUGGGUCCGGUAGGGGAGGGUGGAACACCCGGUGUAGCGGUGGAAUGCGCAGAUAUCGGGUGGAACACCGGUGGCGAAGGCGGCCCUCUGGGCCGAGACCGACGCUGAGGCGCGAAAGCUGGGGGAGCGAACAGGACUAGAUACCCUGGUAGUCCCAGCCGUAAACGAUGGACGCUAGGUGUGGGGGGACGAUCCCCCCGUGCCGCAACCAACGCAUUAAGCGUCCCCGCUGGGGGAGUACGGCCGCAAGACUAAAACUCAAAAGGAAUUGACGGGGGGCCCGCACAAGCAGCGGAGCAUGUGGCUUAAUUCGAAGCAACGCGAAGAACCUUACCAGGGCUUGACAUCCUUCUGACCGGUGAGUAAUGUCACCUUUCCUACGGGACAGGAGAGACAGGUGGUGCAUGGUUGUCGUCAGCUCGUGUCGUGAGAUGUUGGGUUAAGUCCCGCAACGAGCGCAACCCCUAUGUUCAGUAGCCAGCAUUUAGGAUGGGCACUCUGGACAGACUGCCGGGGAUAACCCGGAGGAAGGCGGGGAUGACGUCAAAUCAUCAUGCCCCUUACGGCCUGGGCUACACACGUGCUACAAUGGCGUAAACAAAGGGAAGCAAGAGGGUGACCUGGAGCGAAUCCCAUAAAUAACGUCCCAGUUCGGACUGUAGUCUGCAACUCGACUGCACGAAGCUGGAAUCGCUAGUAAUCGCGGAUCAGAAUGCCGCGGUGAAUACGUUCCCGGGUCUUGCACUCACCGCCCGUCA
rnacentral:rRNA from 1 species